rnacentral:rRNA from 1 species
UACGUAGGGUGCAAGCGUUAAUCGGAAUUACUGGGCGUAAAGCGUGCGCAGGCGGUUAUGCAAGACAGAUGUGAAAUCCCCGGGCUCAACCUGGGAACUGCAUUUGUGACUGCAUAGCUAGAGUACGGUAGAGGGGGAUGGAAUUCCGCGUGUAGCAGUGAAAUGCGUAGAUAUGCGGAGGAACACCGAUGGCGAAGGCAACUCCCCUGGACCUGUACUGACGC